rnacentral:rRNA from 1 species
UACGUAGGGCGCAAGCGUUAUCCGGAAUUAUUGGGCGUAAAGAGCUCGUAGGCGGUCUGUCGCGUCGGCUGUGAAAUCUCGGGGCUCAACCCCGAGCCUGCAGUCGAUACGGGCAGACUAGAGUGCUGUAGGGGAGACUGGAAUUCCUGGUGUAGCGGUGAAAUGCGCAGAUAUCAGGAAGAACACCCGUGGCGAAGGCGGCUCUCUGGGACGGUACUGACGCUGAGGCGCGAAAGCGUGGGGAGCAAACAGG